rnacentral:rRNA from 1 species
CAAUAAGCGGAGGAAAAGAAACUAACAAGGAUUCCCCUAGUAACUGCGAGUGAAGCGGGAUGAGCUCAAAUUUAAAAUCUGGCGUCUUCGGCGUCCGAGUUGUAAUUUAGAGAAGCGUUUUCCGCGCCGGACCGUGUACAAGUCUCCUGGAACGGAGCGUCAUAGAGGGUGAGAAUCCCGUCUUUGACACGGACCCCCGGUGCUCUGUGAUACGCUCUCGAAGAGUCGAGUUGUUUGGGAAUGCAGCUCAAAAUGGGUGGUGAACUCCAUCUAAAGCUAAAUAUUGGCGAGAGACCGAUAGCGAACAAGUACCGUGAGGGAAAGAUGAAAAGCACUUUGGAAAGAGAGUGAAACAGUACGUGAAAUUGUUGAAAGGGAAACGCUUGAAGUCAGUCGCGUCCGCCGGGAUUCAGCCUUCGGGUGUACUUUCCGGUGGACGGGCCAGCAUCACUUUCAAUCAUCGGACAAGGUCGAGAGGAAUGUGGCACCUUCGGGUGUGUUAUAGCCUCUUGUCGUAUACGGUGACUGGGAGUGAGGACCGCCUUUGUAGGAUGCUGGCGUAAUGGCUUUAAACGACCCGUCUUGAAACACGGACCAAGGAGUCUAACAUGCCCGCGAGUGUUUGGGUGGAAAACCCAUGCGCGUAAUGAAAGUGAAAGUUGGGAAGGCUGUCGCGGCCUGCACCGACGCCCGGACUCGAGAUUUAUCUAAGGUUCUGCGGUAGAGCGUGUAUGUUGGGACCCGAAAGAUGGUGAACUAUGCCUGAAUAGGGUGAAGCCAGAGGAAACUCUGGUGGAGGCUCGUAGCGAUUCUGACGUGCAAAUCGAUCGUCAAAUUUGGGUAUAGGG